ACAGAGGUCCCAAGCGUUGUUCGGAUUCACUGGGCGUAAAGGGUGCGUAGGCGGUCGGAUAAGUUUGAUGUGAAAUCUCCGGGCUUAACCCGGAAAUGGCAUUGAAUACUAUUCGGCUAGAGGUCUGGAGGGGGGACUGGAAUUCUCGGUGUAGCAGUGAAAUGCGUAGAUAUCGAGAGGAACACCAGUGGCGAAGGCGAGUCCCUGGACAGGUCCUGACGCUGAGGCACGAAAGCUAGGGGAGCAAACAGGA
rnacentral:rRNA from 1 species